rnacentral:rRNA from 1 species
UUCCGGUUGAUCCUGCCAGCGGCCACCGCUAUAGGAAUUCGAUUAAGACAUGCGAGUCGAGAGUCGUAAUGGACUCGGCGGACUGCUCAGUAACACGUGGAUAACGUGCCCUUAAGAGGAGGAUAAUCUCGGGAAAUUGAGGAUAAUACUCCAUAGAUCAUGGGAUCUGGAAUGACCCAUGGUUCAAAGUUCCGGCGCUUAAGGAUCGGUCUGCGGCCUAUCAGGUAGUAGUAGGUGUAAUGUACCUACUAGCCUACGACGGGUAUGGGCCUUGAGAGAGGGAGCCCAGAGUUGGAUUCUGAGACACGAAUCCAGGCCCUACGGGGCGCAGCAGUCGCGAAAACUUCACAAUGGGGGCAACCCCGAUGAGGGAAUUCCUAGUGCUAGCACAUUUGUGUUAGCUUUUCUUUAGCUUAGAAAACUAGAGGAAUAAGGGCUGGGUAAGACGGGUGCCAGCCGCCGCGGUAAUAC